rnacentral:tRNA from 1 species
GACCGACUGGCCAAGUGGUUAAGGCGUCUGUCUUACAUUUCAUAUGUUGGAGUUCACAGAAGGUCGCAGGUUCGAUCCCUGCGUCGGUCA